GACGAACGCUGGCGGCGUGCUUAACACAUGCAAGUCGAACGGUGAAGCGCCUUCCUUUUUGGUGGGUGUGGAUGAGUGGCGAACGGGUGAGUAACACGUGAGUAACCUGCCCCCUUCUUCUGGAUAACCGCAUGAAAGUGUGGCUAAUACGGGAUAUUCUGGGUCUGUCGCAUGAUGGGUCUGGGAAAGAUAUUGUUUCGGUGGGGGAUGGGCUCGCGGCCUAUCAGCUUGUUGGUGGGGUGAUGGCCUACCAAGGCGGUGACGGGUAGCCGGCCUGAGAGGUUGGCGGGUCAAGCGGGGACGAGGCCACGGCCAGACUUCGAACGGAGGCAGCAGUGGGGAAUAUUGCACAAUGGGCGCAAGCCUGAUGCAGCGACGCCGCGUGAGGGAUGGAGGCCUUCGGGUUGUGAACCUCUUUCGCCAGUGAAGCAGGCCUGCCUCGUUUGUGGGUGGGUUGACGGUAGCUGGAGAAGAAGCGCCGGCUAACUACGUG
rnacentral:rRNA from 1 species